GCAAGGGGAGCCAGAGCUAGAGCUAGAGCUGGAGCUACUCAUGAUGAUGAUAUGGUAUUGUGAUGAUUCUUGAUAAUAUAUAUAUAUAUAUAUAAGAGGUCGAGUUUAAUUUUGUGAUUUAACUGUGUUUGUUUUGCUGUUGAAAUUAGGUUUUGAUCUAACCUUGAGGUAUAGCUUUAAGGAGAGAGAUUUUAUAAACAAGGCAAAGGUGAAGAUGAAGGUGGGUUACAUAUAUUAUAUUUGUUUAAUUUCUUCUUGUCUGCUUAAUGGUCUACACUUCUCAUUAUUUAUUUUUAUUCAUUCCUUUUGCAUUAGUACUAUUUUGUUUUUCUUGUUAAAGAAAUUGACAAUCCUUUUGGAUUGUUGUAUGCAUAAAAACGAGAGAUUUAGUUUUUCUUUUUAAUUAUGAGAAACCAGGCUUGGAUUUAUAAUUUCUUUUUUUUUUUUAAAGCGAAAAAGAUAUUGCAUAGUAGAAUCAGAAUGUAUGUACGUGUACAUGUAUAUUUCUCUACUGAUUAAACCAAAAUGGUUAACAGAAAGCAAUAAAGAAUACACACGACACAAUAGACCUUGUAUUUUGUUCUUGACUCCACAAAAUGACUAGAACUUCUAAUGGCUCCACAAAAUGACUAGAAC
rnacentral:lncRNA from 1 species